CUCGGGGCGCUCGGGCUGCUCCGGGGGCCUGGAGGCGCGAGGCCCCGGGCCGCAGCGCAGCCCCAGCCCGGCCCGCCAGCAGGUGGCGCUGUGCGCGGUCCUCAGACGCUGCGCGCCCAGGCGUGGUACACCGCGAGCAGUCCGACCCCAGGCCCGGCGCGGCCCAGACAGUGUUCCCAGGGGCUCCCGCCGGCGGCACGGCAGUGAUUCCCCAGGCCCACCCCGUCCGGCCGGAGGUACUGAUGGAAACCAAGGGAUAAGCAUUUGGAACAGUCUAGAGAGCCUUGGAAGUAGGAGUUUGGUUUGUUGUUGUUUUUAUUUGUUUUCCCUCCCUUGCUUUAUUUUUAUUAUGGUAAGGGCCUUCCUCCCAAACUGAAAAGUUAUACACGCCUACAUUUUACUAUUCCAUCAAGUGCUCCUUCCCACUGCACUUACUACCUUCCCUGAGUUGACUGUAUUUGAGGGGGAGAAAAAAGCCACAGCCAAAGCCACUUCAUAUGGCUGGGGGCUUGGGGAGCAGGAGGAAAACAAUCUUUAUUUCAUCCCAUCUACUGAAGACUAUUUACUACAUUUGAAAUAAAACUUCCAUCAAUACAAAAAAAUUGAAUAAAUAAAUAAAUAAAAUUAAAUUGAAAUCCCAAUAAAUUGAAAUCUUUGUAUUUUUUUUAAAACCCGGCAGGUGCGUGUGUUUACUUGACAUAAAUGACGCUCUGCCGGAAAUACAGUGC
rnacentral:lncRNA from 1 species